UCUGUUUGUUAGACCCUAUCAACACUAGGCUCUAACUUGAGAAUGAGUGUCAAUAUAUGGCCAAUCAUGUUAGUUGUUGAAUGGAUGAAUUAAUUAACAUUCAGCAUCAAUAAAGAGAAAAAAGGGGUUCAACCUAGUAACAAUACUGGCAGUGAUGAAUCUGAUGAUGUUUUCUGGAAUAUUAAGGUCAUUAAGAGAGGAGAGGAUUUCAACUACAUAUAAAAAGAUUAACUCAGAAAAUCUCAUAAAUUUAGUGUAGAAGAAAAACACAAUGUGCUGAUAUGAAAGUUGGUAAAUGUUAGUCCCAAGGCCCAAGGUGACAUAUAUUUUGUUGGACCUAGAAGUAAGAUUCCGAAAGAGAUUGGCUAUGUGGAAACGUCAGUACAUCUCAAAAGGGGAGAGGAUUACCUUAAUUCGAAAUACCUUGUCCAAUUUGCCAAUCUAUUUUAUGUCUAUUUUCCAGCUGCCUAGGGUGGUCAGAAUGAGAUUGGAGCAGAUUCAAAGGGAUUUUUUGUGGGGUGGUGGGGCUCUUGAGCAAAAACCGCACUUAAUAAGGUGGUCGAUUGUGUGUGUAGACAAAAGAAAAGGAGGGUUGGGGGUUAAGAGUCUUGGGACUUUCAAUAGGGCUCUCCUUGGCAAGUGGGUUUGGCGCUUUGCAAAUGAAAGAAAGGCCCUUUGGAACCAAGUGAUUAGAAGGAAAUACGGGGAGGAAAGAAGAGGGUGGAGCUCUUGUGAGGCUAGGGAGGCCUAUGGAGUUGGGUUGUGGAAAGCAAUGAGUAAGAUGAGACAUCUAGUAACCCCUUCUUUUGGCUUUGUGGUGGGUGAUGGUAAGAAGGUGAGGUUUUGGAAAGACAAGUGGUGUGGAACCACCCCUUUGUGCGAGGAUUUUCCUUCAUUAUUUGCUCUAGCAACUUCCAAAGAGGCUUGGGUGAAUGAAGUUUGGACAGCCACGGGGGAAAGGGGGGGAAGUUGGACUCCUCGUUUCAAUAGACCUUUCAAUGAUUGGGAGUUGGAAGAAGUGGAAAGGUUGCUUUGUUGCUUGGAUGGGAAGAAAGUUAGUGUGGAUGAGGAGGAUAGGGUGAGGUGGAUGGAUUCAAAGGAUGGGUUUUUUUCGGUAAAAUCUUUGUAUAGGGCUUUGCAGCCGGUGUCUCUUGUUUCUUUCCUUUCGAAGAUUAUUUGGAACUCUUGUGUGCAACCCAAAUUAAGCUUCUUUGCUUGGGAGGCUUCGUGGGGAAGAGUUCUAACCUUGGACUGUUUGCAAAAGAGGGGUUGAGCUUUGGCUAAUAGAUGCUUUCUGUGCCAAACGUGUGAGGAGUCGAUUGACGACCUCCUUAUUCAUUGUGAAAAAACAAGGGAAGUGUGAAUGUUGAUCCUUUUUUUUUUUUUGGAGUAUCUUGGGUUUUUCCUUUUUCGGUAAAGGAAACUCUUUUAGGGUGGAGGGGCUCUUUUGUGGGUAAGAAGAGGACGGUGGCGUGGCAAGUGGAACCGUUAUGCUUGUUUUGGGUCAUUUGGAAGGUUAAGAAUAAAAUUGCUUUUGAGGAUGGCGUGCUGUCCAUUCAAAGGCUGAAAGUUUCUUUUGUGUAUUUACUUUGGUUAGAAGCCAAAUUGUGGAUAAAAGAUGGUCCUUCGACCUUAAUAGAUUUUAUAGAUUGGGUGUGUUCGCAAUGAGGGAGAAAGUUUUUUGUUUUUUCCUUGUUGUUUAGGUCCUUUUGUAAGGGGGUGAGUUUCUCUAUACUAUAAUUCUGUGGGUCGCUAUUUUAGCACCUCUUUGCAAUAUAUUUUUUGCUUAUUGAUAAAAAAUAAAAAUAAAAAUUUGUUUGGACCUAGGAAAAUUGGUUUAAAAAAGAAUUGUACCAUUUGAAAUUUUGGUUUGGACAUAGAAAAUGUGUUAACCUUAUUUAUAUCUCAU
rnacentral:lncRNA from 1 species